GCAACAGUCGUACCUGAUGUUGGCUCUCACUUCUGCUUUUUCUGGUAAUCGGGUGAAAAUAGUGACCGUAGUCACUUUUUGGGAACUAAAAUGUACAGCUUCCACAGAAGCUCCUUCCCUCCCUCACCUUUUCACGGAUGACAACCUCAUCCGUCGUGAUGACUUCCUGUAAGAAAAGCUUUGACAUUGGCAUCUGCUCAAGGUGCACGUCGCCACACUUCAGCCACUCCUUCACUCCAAUUAGUUCACAUCUGGAGUUUGUUUGCACGCCAGCAAAAUAACCCGCACUCCCCUCGAAACGAUAAUGAUGAUGUGUGUGUGUGUUUUUACCAGUUGUGUUUUGUAAAACAGAUGGGUGGUUUGCUUCAGAGUAGACUGUACGAUUAACAGCCACCAAAUGUUGGGAAAAUGCUACAAGAUCAGGGAUGGAAUACUGCUAUCGUUGCACAUACACUAAAUGGGCACAAGUAUUGGAAUACAUUCUAUCGAUAUGACGUGAAAAGUGAGAAAAAAGUGGUGGUUCCACACUUAUGGGAAGUCUCUCUGCAAGAUCUUGGAGUGUGUCUGUGGGAUUUUUUGUCCGUUUGUUUGGUCAAUGUUAGCUGUUGAACAUAAGAGAAGGCUUGCACAGGCCUUGCUUUGUACAUUGAGAAAAGAAAAGGCCAUCCCUAAACUGAUCCCAUAAAAUUGGACACAUUUAUCCGUC